GCCCAGACUCCUACGGGAGGCAGCAGUGGGGGAUAUUGCACAAUGGGGGAAACCCUGAUGCAGCGACGCCGCGUGAGUGAAGAAGUAUUUCGGUAUGUAAAGCUCUAUCAGCAGGGAAGAAGAUGACAGUACCUGAGUAAGAAGCCCCGGCUAACUACGUGCCAGCAGCCGCGGUAAUACGUAGGGGGCAAGCGUUAUCCGGAUUUACUGGGUGUAAAGGGAGCGUAGACGGAUGGAUAAGUCUGAAGUGAAAGCCCGCGGCUCAACUGCGGGACUGCUCUUGGAACUGCGUGGCUGGAGUGCAGGAGGGGCAGGCGGAAUUCCUGGUGUAGCGGUGAAAUGCGUAGAUAUCAGGAGGAACACCGGUGGCGAAGGCGGCCUGCUGGACUGCAACUGACGUUGAGGCCCGAAAGCGUGGGGAGCAAACAGGAUUAGAUACCCUGGUAU
rnacentral:rRNA from 1 species